UCCUUGGUUACUCAUAUGGUAAAGAAUCUGCCUGCAGUGCAGGAGACCCGAGUUCGAUCCCUGGUCAAGGAA
rnacentral:tRNA from 1 species